GGCUCAGGAUGAACGCUGGCGGCGUGCUUAACACAUGCAAGUCGAACGAAGCACCUCUAAUCGAAGAUUGAGAAGCUUGCUUUGAUUGAUUCACCUUGAGGUGACUGAGUGGCGGACGGGUGAGUAACGCGUGGGUAACCUACCCUAUACAGGGGGAUAACAGUUGGAAACGACUGCUAAUACCGCAUAAGCGCACAGGACCGCAUGGUCUAGUGUGAAAAAACUCCGGUGGUAUAGGAUGGACCCGCGUCUGAUUAGCUAGUUGGUGAGGUAACGGCUCACCAAGGCGACGAUCAGUAGCCGACCUGAGAGGGUGACCGGCCACAUUGGGACUGAGACACGGCCCAAACUCCUACGGGAGGCAGCAGUGGGGAAUAUUGCACAAUGGGCGAAAGCCUGAUUGCAGCGACGCCGCGUGAACGAAGAAGUAUUUCGGUAUGUAAAGUUCUAUCAGCAGGGAAGAAAAAUGACGGUACCUGACUAAGAAGCUCCGGCUAAAUACGUGCCAGCCGCCGC
rnacentral:rRNA from 1 species